AGUCGAACGCUUCUUUCCUCCCGAGUGCUUGCACUCAAUUGGAAAGAGGAGUGGCGGACGGGUGAGUAACACGUGGGUAACCUACCCAUCAGAGGGGGAUAACACUUGGAAACAGGUGCUAAUACCGCAUAACAGUUUAUGCCGCAUGGCAUAAGAGUGAAAGGCGCUUUCGGGUGUCGCUGAUGGAUGGACCCGCGGUGCAUUAGCUAGUUGGUGAGGUAACGGCUCACCAAGGCCACGAUGCAUAGCCGACCUGAGAGGGU
rnacentral:rRNA from 1 species